GACGAACCGUGCGAACGUUGUUCGGAAUCACUGGGCUUAAAGGGCGCGUAGGCGGGUCACCAAGUCUGGGGUGAAAUCUUUCGGCUCAACCGGAAAAUUGCCUUGGAUACUGGUGGUCUCGAGGGAGGUAGGGGCAUGUGGAACUUCCGGUGGAGCGGUGAAAUGCGUUGAUAUCGGAAGGAACGCCGGUGGCGAAAGCGACGUGCUGGACCUCUUCUGACGCUGGAGUGCGCGAAAGCUAGGGGAGCAAACGGG
rnacentral:rRNA from 1 species